AUCAGCUUGGCCUGCCAUUAUCUGGAGGUGACAGGCUGUGGCACUCUCCAGCCUCUCUAUGGGUUUAUAGGAGGCUCCCAGCCAGUCUGUGCCCUGUGACUGUCCCUCUGAGGCGACAGUGGAUCAAGGACUCCUGUCCUUGUCUCUCCAGGUAACCUGUUCCUCCAGGCUGUGUCCUGGAAUGACAUCAUUUCUGUCUUAUCCCUACGUCCAAUACUAGAUCACUCUGUGGGUUUUCAGUCAUAAUACUGAAAAGUAUAAUCAUUUCACAGUUUUCUACUUCCUAGGAUAAAUUGGGGUUCACUUCAAAGUUGUUUAUAAGCGACUCAUACUCUACUUCUA
rnacentral:lncRNA from 1 species